AACAUACACAGCCCCAAAGAUCACCGUCAAUGGAUAACCCCUUAACGUGGUACACAACUUCACAUAUCUAGGAAGUAUCAAAUGACGCCUCGUCCGGCCAGGGCCAGUAAUGCUAAGACUAAAAUCGUCUUUAAAAAUGACAUCAUCAAUCUGUGCACAGGAAGUACAUCUCUCUCACACACAAAAGGAUGCUCACUUUUGAAUUUCCGCUGUUUAUUCAUUGCCUAAAUUUUACUAAAAUUUAAUACAAAUCACUUUUUUUUAUAUUAAAAUAUCAUAUCAGAGAAUUGAAAUUAGAUUAAAACAACACACAAACGGAGUCAAAACGUCAUACAGGUGUCUGCAGCCAUGUUGGGCGAUUUCAUGCUGCGAACAUUACGGGGCAAAGCUUUGAUGGAAAGCCGCGAAGUCGAGAUGAGUCCCAGCAAGGAAACCGUCAAGAAAAAAUCCGAGAAUGAUGUUCCCAAGUCUAGCCCCAAAAGGGUUUUCAUUCAGAAGGAAUUAGUCAAGGAUAAGAUAACUCCGGGAAAGAAAAGAAACUUCAAAGAUUAAAGAUGGUUAAAAGAAGGCAAAAAUAAUUGAUGACUCUGUGACAGAAGGCAAAAUGAAGAUGUUUAGCUAAG
rnacentral:sRNA from 1 species